ACAGCUCAGGGGUGAGCAGAAGGGCAUUUGGGAGGUCAAAAGUGGACCUGGUGGAGGAAAAUGGGUUUCCUUUCUGCACCAGUCGCAAGCAUGUACAGAAAAUGCACUCAACCAGAAAAGGCGACAGGAGCAAGUGUGCAGGACAACCUAACCGAAAAGAAAAAAACUGUCAGGGAACCAGAAACACGCCACCAACCAGGAUAUCACUGUCCCUUUCCAGGGGACAGGGGACCUCUCUUCAGUUUGCAUCUGCUUAACUUUGAGCAACAGAUCUUUAAAAAGCUCUCUUCCUAUAAGUGUCUAGAGAACAAAAUAAAGAAAUUUAGCUUAUGAAAUGCUAAC
rnacentral:lncRNA from 1 species